CCCCCAUAGCAAAAUAUAAUCUAGAAGAAAUAAGAGGUUCACCUUUUGGUUCUAGUUAAUGACAACUUGAAGGUUGGCUUAAGUAAUAUCCAUCCCUCUACUUGCUAAGUUCCCUAAAUGUGGUUCUAAAAAUUAAUGUUAAGUAUUCAGGCCAGAGAUAUUUAUCAGAAGGAUGUGAUUUAAAUGGCUAUGUACCUCAUGGCAAGUCUUACAGAAAAAUAUAGGUACAAAUAUGCAUAAGUCAUAUUUAUAUACUUUCUAUAAAAUUAGACUGGCAUUAAUUAAAUGGCAGAAAAGGCAAUGAGAGCAUUGUUUGGAAGGUAGCUUGUUCCAAGUUCUGAUUAUAACUUGCUUCCCAAAGAAGGAGCCGCCCACAGCUUAGAAGACAGAUGAGAAGAUCAUCAUCACAGAUUUGCUGUGAACAGCUCUGCUCAGCUCUGUCCCUGCCAGACUUGGGGCCACACAUACCCUUCUAAGAGGGCUAAAGAAGAUUCACAAAGAGCACUGCUUCUUGCUCCAGCUUUGGCAAGAGCAGAGGAUGAUUUUGUCUUUCGUAAUCCCAUGAGUGAGUAAUAUAAUUACCCAAAUUUCAUGGAAGAAGAAACCGAGGCCAAAAUUUGCCCAUGGUUACAAAAAAAUGAGUCAUCAGUGUUCAGUGGAACAUCCUUUCAGUUGCAUGAAGAUGCCAAACUAGAGGAAAGAGGACACACCAUGUGAUUUCCCAAGGGCCAUCAUUUCCCAAGGGAUGGUUGUGACUGAGGGGACA